GAUGAAGAACGUAGUGAAAUGCGAUAAGUAGUGUGAAUUGCAGAAUUCAGUGAAUCAUCGAAUCUUUGAACGCACAUUGCGCCCCUUGGUAUCCCGAGGGGCAUGCCUGUUCGAGCGUCAUUUCACCACUCAAGCCUGGCUUGGUGUUGGGCGACGUCCCCUUUAGGGACGCGCCUCGAAACGCUCGGCGGCGUGGCACCGGCUUUAAGCGUAGCAGAAUCUUUCGCUUUGGAAGUCGGGGCCCCGUCUGCCGGAAGACCUACUCGCAAGGUUGACCUCGGAUCAGGCAGGGAUACCCGCUGAACUUAAGCAUAUCAAUAAGCGGAGGA
rnacentral:misc_RNA from 1 species